AAUCUCAGGAUAAGGUCAUAUAAUGGACAAAAUAACAAAAGCAGAGUUUGGCACUUUGUGAUGUCUGGAUUUCAUUUCUUUGUGGUCCUGCCAGGCCAAACAAGAAAUUUUGGCUUUCGUUUUACUUGUUUGUUUCUCUGUACUGCUGAAACGGAAUCACUCAGAGUCCUAUCACAUCUAUGCCUAUUCAUAAUCUCCUGUUCAUUGCAUUUCACGAGAAGCAUGCUUCAUUGGCCCUUUUUUAAGUCUUGCGUCAUCAACAAGCCCAAAGAGAGCAUCAUCUCUUGAACGCUCUCUAGCUACGAGGUUUAGAGCUUCCAUGCAGUCACUCAACACAGCCACUUUUCGUUUUGCAUCAGAUAAUAUGUUGCGCGCACACACUCUCUCUCUCUCACGGUUUCUGGGAGAGACCAUAACUGCCUAUUUUCGUAUAUCUGUAAACACAGAUGAAAUCUACGAUCAGGUAAGAUUCCCCAUGGACUGAGUGGGACCGACUCACUUUGGAGUGUUCGGCACAACCUUCAUGGCUUUUUUGCCAAACAAUAACAAGUUGGUCUUGGUUCCCCCAAAGAAGACCGAGCCGAUGCACAUGGUGGCCACAACCUCAGCUAUAUGUGACUGAUCCGGUUGUUUUCAGGUACCCAACAAUAGCAAAGGGCAUAUGAACUGCUCUUUCACAAAACAACAAAAACACACCUUAGAAAUGCUUUAUUCCAACUCAUUAGGAAGGUUAGUUUUAGAUUAAUGAACUGAUGACUCAAAUUUGCUAAGUGUGACUACUUGAAAUGUACAAAAUUGGGAAAGGAAGAGUAUUGAAGGAAUGAAGCAAGGUGGCUCUCAGUGGUUAUGGAACAAUCGUUCAGGGUUGCAUGGAAUCAUGAAAGCUUCUUGAAGUGUUAGAGAUCUUAACAAUGGUAGCUAAUGCAUGAUUUUGCUAGUCCGUGGAUGAAGAUUUGUCGAGGAAAGCAGCUAGGGAGCAUGAAAUUCUUAAAACUUUUGAUGUUCUAAACUUAAUCCCACCACUUCAGAUUAAUCUAUCAGAAUUCAUAGUCUAUGUAUCUGUUAGGUAGUGUCAUGAUACUUUCACAUUGCCAACCAUAAAGACUCAAUGCUUAACACAAUAUACAUUCCCAAUCUAUUAAUAUAUGUUGAAGCAACUGGACAGUGAAUUGGUUCGAGUUGUGCCGUGUUAAAAGUUAUUUCACUACCGUGGGUAAAUGUAAAUGCGGCACCCUUCAAGAUUAAACAAACCUUUCCUACAAAAGACUGGAUGACCGAACGGCAAAAAUAUCACAGAGACUCAGCGGCAGAAAAAUAAUAGGAGGAGAAGAUAGCAGAGAGGAGAAAUGAUACUUGAAAGCUUAAGAGCGAUGCAUUGAACACUCUGUCCCGAACCCUUUUAUAUAGGCAUCAAAGCAUUUGAACAUUGGGCACCACACUUAUGACAAUAAACAUGAUUAAAUCUUUAGUUUCAGAUGUUGGCACAAUAAACACAAUUUACACCUUCGGUUAUGAACAUUAGGGGCACCCAAAAUUGAAGUUUAGGACGUUGGCAAGCGUCAACCCAUGAAAAACCGUUUAAGGAUCAACGAAGAAGUAUUCUCAGACUAUGAACCAGACUUAGACAGAUAAUACUUACCACACAACGAUGUCAGUAAAGCCUGCUUCUAUGAACCAACAACUCUUGGUGUGUGCCAGAGAUAUUAAGAGUUAGAUUAUACUCCCACAAUUUUCACUGUUGCCGCUGGUUUUGCACGUUAUAAAUUGUUCACCCUCACUAAGAAAUGCAUUUUAACACUUCUCACAUCAUAGUGGAUCUGCCAAAUGCACUUUUGAUCCAACAAAAUUGAUUGAGACUACUUUGUCUUUAAGCAGCUGUCUCAUAAUAUUAUGCCUCAAUCGUACGUGUCAAGAAGAUGAUAUAUAUACACUUGAACCUCCUUUAUUUUGAGCAAUAUGAGACUUCACUUUUGACACACCCACUUAUAUUCACAACAAUAUAUAUUUAACACACAAAUAUGGUGACAAAAGUAUCUUAUAUUGGUGCUUUGUAAAGAAGGAAGAUAGAAGAGAGAAACUUAGAUUGUCAAUGAGGUGAUCCCUUGAAAUUCUCUGGCUACCUUCCUUAGCAAAUCUUUAUCUAAAGGCUUAUAAUAUCGUGCAUUAACUGCAGUCAUUGGGAUCCCCAACGCUUCAACAAGCCUCUAUGCUUGAAUGCAAUUUUGGACCACUAUUCAACACCCAAAAAGAGCCACCCUGCUUCCUUCCCUCGGAUACUCUUCCUUUCCCAAACUAUGACAUUUCAAGUAGUCUAACUUGGUAAAUUUGGAUCACCAAUUCAUUGGUCUAUGUCUAACUCUAAUGAGGUGGAAUUAAGUACCUCUAAUGGUGUGCCUCUGUUGUUUUGUGAAGUAGUGGUCCCUAUGCCGUUUCCUCUUGGGUACCUGAAACAGCUUGGUCUGUGAUCUAUGGUUGCAGCUGUUUUAACCAUGUGCAUGAGCUCGGUUUCUUUGAAGGAGCCAUGGCCAUCAUGUUUGGCAAACAAGCCAUGAACGUUGCGCCCAACAAUUGCUGCUGAAAUAGAAGCAAGGAAAGACAUAGAUAUGGCCAACAGAGAGACCCUCAUUGCUGGAGGUCCUUCUGUUCUACGUUGUAUUUGAUUGUUGCGAUGGGAGAUGCCCGUUUGUAUGGUAUGGAACGAGGAAAGCGCAACAUCUGUCAAUAAUGUUCAACAAGUUCAAGGGACUCUCUAUUCUCAUGUCAUUUAUUAC